CGUUGCAUUUAAAUGUAAUGAGUGAUUUUGCUUUUUAGAUUUGCCGGUGUACAGCGAGCUGAUCUCCCUUGCAGAAAAAGAUUUAUAUGACGGUGAACUAGCACAAGAAAUCCUAAACACAAAGGAUCAUGCAAUAACUUCCCCAUCUACUAGAAGGACAUCUCAACGUAGUGUAGAAGCAACUUCUCUUCACAAGGAAUUCCUACAACUGGCACAACAAUAGAAAGACAUUCUCAACGAAACAGUGGUG